GAAAACUUCUCUGAGAAGACUUCUCUGAGAUGGGAAUGAUGGAGCAGCGGGUCCACAGUAAACGGAAGAAAGCUUGGUGUGUUCCAGGAAAAGGAGUGAGAGAGUGUUUUCAGAUAAAAAGGGUGUAAACCUGGAUGCUCUGAUUGAAGUCAUUUUAAGACUUCUGUCUGGAAAUUACACCGAGGCUAAGCAUGUGGAAAGCUUGCUGUACUCCAAACCAAAACAGCAGGGUCCUGGCUCCACAAAUCCGUUCCACCAGACAACAUUCGUCGCUUGUUAUCCAGAUAUUAUUUUAAAGCAUGUCCCUUUGUGGUCAUUGAAUUGUCUAAGAUAAGGUGAUUGGCUUAUUUGCUGUGUCUUUAUAAUGAGUAUCUUUGCCAGAAUAAUCAUAAGAAAUCCAAUACCGGGUAAUGUUUUUCUAUUUGUAGCACAGGAUUUCAAACCAAUUUCCAAAAAGUAAAUUCCUCAGCAAAUAAUGCAGAUAGGUCUUCUACUUUUUCACUCAUUGUAGUCUUAAGCAGAAAAGCAAUUUGAUUGGUAGCCCAAAUAUCAGUGCUACAAAAUGAAGCUUUCCUCAUGGGAGAAAAGAAGAGCAAUUUGGAUAAUUGGACUUGAAAUUUUACUCUGGCUUGACCCCUUCUGGGCUACGUGAACUUGACCAACACAGUUCAUCUCUAUGAGCCUCAGCUUCCUUCUCUGUACAAUGCCCACCUCACAGGGCAUUUGUCAGGAGAGAAUAAAAUUAUGCCUGUGGAAGGCUCAAACUAGCAAUGUGUGAGCUGGCUCCUGCCCAUGGAUGUGUUUUGCUUGGCUUAUACAAAGUUUCGAACUUUUAAAUUUCAUUGACAACAUUUAAAAAUUAGACAAUUCAUAUUUCUGACUUUUUGUUUUUAAAUCUAAACGCUGCAAAUCUUAAAACUGGCUGGAACUAAGUAUUGGCUCAGACACAUUCCUACCAUCGCCGUUUGUCUUCAUCCAUCCUGCCCAGUCGAUGUUUGCACUUGCAAUCCCCACUAUAAAAAAAUGUUUGAUUACCCUGGUAAUAUCCUGUUCAAGAAAAUUCUCUUAGACAAAGUGAUCUUAAGCACAAAUCAAAAUUCAGUGCUCAGUAACAGGGGACUAGUAAACAGUCAAAAAAAGGAGAGGAAACAGGUGUGUAUCUAGAUGAUAGAGCGUUUAUACAAGUAACUGGACAGUUAAACACAGACACUGGUUUAUUUCACAGAGCUGUAAAACCAACUUUUUUACAAUUGACAUGGAUUGAUAUUUUGGACAUGUGUGAGUUGGAGCCAUCCAUAGAUACGAACGAAUCAUUCAUCAGAAAAAGACCACACAGGUGGAGAUGGUGAGAAGGGGUGUCCUUGAUCUGAGGUAAGCAUUGACGGUAUUUCCUCCUAGAUCUCUCAGCACCCAUUCUCACUGACACAUCUUUUAGUUAUAUUAAGACCUUCAGUCUGGGUCUAGGCAUGUCCUGCUGGUCUUUGAAUUACACUCUCUCAUUAAGAUAGUGGUAUAUUUUUUUCUAAUCUAUUUUGAGGGAAGAACACCUCUGUUCACACUUAUGUGCUAAUAUAGUUGGGAGACUCCGGAUGGCAAUUAGAUUUCUUAUUACUCAUGUACCAAAAAGUGCAAUGGCUGAGGAGUGUGUAAGAAGGUCCUCAAAUCAUAUCCGCUGAAGCAGGAAGGAGCGGCAUGAUUGAUAAGGGAUGAGUGGGUGAGGAGGUGGGCAGGGCUCAGGGUGGUGGCUGAGGGCCAAAUGCUUGUUGAUGCUGCUUUAGAUCCUACACUGUAGCCUGGGCACUUAAAGUACAAAAAAAAAGAAAUAGUACAUAUCUGAUAAGUGUCUGCCUAAACCUUUUUCUUAUGAAAGUAGAAGGCAGAGUAUGCAAUAUCUUCUCCAGUUUUUCGGGUUUCCCUCUUAACUCAUCCAUUAUCAGCUUUCUUUACACAUUCAGGAGCAAACUGACUCCUAGAAGCCAAUUCACUGACAGUCCAUUUUGCCAAAGGCAAAUGUUUUCAACGACAAAUUCACCAAACUUCCAUUUUCGAAAACAAUUUAAAAAAAAAAUUUUAUUAGAUAAUUGAAGUUAGCAUUUUUUUUUUCCUAAAGCUUGGCACCUGUGCUAUCAUCUGUUUACAAUCUUUUUUUUCCCUUCUUCUUCUCCCUAAAGCCCCCCAGUACAUAGUUGUAUAUUCUGGUUGUAAGUGCUCUGGUUGUGCUAUGUGGGAUGCUGCUUCAACAUGACCUGAUGAGCGGUGCCAUGUCCGGGCCCAGGAUCGGAACCAGCGAAACCCCAGGGCUGCCAAAGCAGAGCGAGUGAACUGAACCACUUGGCCAUAGGGCUGGCCCUGGAGACAAUUUUUGAUGGACUACUUUUUAUCUUUGCCUAACAGCAUGCUAAGAAAUCGUCAGUAUGUUUCUACCCCUGCUUCCUGCUGCUACUAGCUGGAGAAUGAGAGAAUGGCAGGCAAAGACACAGGAGACUGGAACAUUAGGAAAAUAUUUCAUAUGGCGUCCGGGGGUCAGGAGGCCGGGAGUGGCUGUGCUGGCUCCUCCUUUCACUGCUGCUCUUUCCAAAUUUAUUCCUAAGUCAUGAAUACUAUCAUGCCGAGAAAAGGAAAGACGGUUAACUCUAGAAGAAAGAAUUCCAAGGAGGGUAUGAUGUAGGGACAGUUCCCACCAGAGGGGAAAGGCAAGUGCGAGAAGAGGAAAGGGACUUGGCAGAAUAAAUACUGAAGUAAAGAUAAAGCCUGAGACUCUCAGCAUCCCAAUGCUCCCUCCUGUGGGCUCCAGAUGCACUGAGAGGGAAACCAAGGACAAGAUGGGUGGUGGCUGAGAGUGAAUGGUGAAGAGUGAGGUGACUGCUGAGUCCCUGACAAUCGGUGCAAUAAGAAAGAGCUGAAUUGGUACCAAGACAGCAAUGUGGGAACACCAAGUCUUUACUGUGAUAAGAAGACGGCCCUUGAGUUAGAGCAUCUAUGAACACUUCAGAAAUGGAUGCAAGGAGGGCAAAGCCCAGUGCCUAGAGAACAGGCAACAUGAGCUCCAUUUCACCUAUGGAUCAACGGAAGCCGUGAAGAAAGAGAACAUGGAGACAGGAGACUCCCUGAGGCUAUGUGAGCUCCGCUUUGUGUCCAGAUGCCAUCUUUGGAAGAAGAUGAGAGAGGGAAAGCUCUUUCAGAAAGAAAUGCAAACCUCGUUUUACCCCCAAAGGAGACUGUUUACAAUAGGAGAGACUUUAUUAGUUGUAAUUAGAAAGUUUGAAAUAGUUUCUGCCAUCAGUGGAAAUGAGUGGCAAAAAGUUUCUAUUUGUUAUAGAAAUAGAGAAGCGAAAUUCCAUGCACACUUCAGGUUGUAUUGCACUAAAUUUUGAUCCUAUGCUUCAUGCAUUAUUUCAUUUAACCAUUCCAUAAACUCUAUUAUUAUUCCCAUUUUAGAGCAGACCAUACUGAGAUUAAAGGAAUCUAGAUAACUUAGGCAACAUCACAAAGCUAGUAAGUCAUAGAUGUGAAAUUCUGUUUGACCCGAAAGCUGCCUAUUUUAAUCAUCUAGUUUACAAUAGAGGAUAUAUAUUAUUUCUGUGACAAUUUAAGUGACACCAAUAGACUUCAAAUAGAGUCAGCAUAUGAAUUUGUCAUUGGAUAUUCACAGAAUAUGUUAAUUUUUAAAGUUUAAAGGAGAAUGUUGAACCAACAGUUGGUUUUCUUUUUAUCUCUGUCCUCAUCAGGACUCAGUUAUUGAUCCUGCCUACAGACAAAAAGUCAGGCUCCCAUGAAAGUGUUUUCUUCAGAAUCCUUCUAACCCCUCAGAAUGGUAUCACAUGCCUGUUUGUAAUUCUAGUGUUUGAUUCCAACAGUACUCCUUAUCUAGACCUACCACUGUGCAAGAAUGCAAGUCUAAGGAGGCAGAGUUGGGUUAAAUUCCGUCUACCCCCAUUUAUCAAGCUUUGGCAUAGACAACAUCCACCGUAUGAGCCAGUGGUGGUCCUCACAGUAUCUCUGUAUUGGAAAUGUCUGAUUGCCCAAACUCCUCUAGACUCUAGGUCCUGAAGGACUGGAACUGUCUGGCCUCUGUUUAAUCAUUUCAUCCUCUCCUGAAAUUACCUCAUUUCUAGGUGUUUUUCACACUCCAUUCUGUGUCACCCUUUUUGUUCUUUCUCUGAAUGUUAGUUAUUUUACCCAUAGGCAAAGUGCUUGACUUACUAGGCUGAACCACGAUAGGUGUAUGCUAACUACUGUCUUUUAAAUUUGGUAGGAGUGAAUGAAAAAAAGACUUUGAUAUUUUUUGAACUGCAUCCAAAUACAAAACAGAAAUCCAAAGUGUUCUUGGAAAAUAUAUCUUUUCAUGUCUUAAAACUUAUCUCCCAACAGAAUCUAUUUGGGGAGGCGUCAAUGUUCAACUCUGGCCUAGAUAUUUGCCUAAAAUUUGGAUCUUAAGCUUCAGUCUCAGCACUGGCCUUUGAGAGAUUCAUGCUGAAGAUUCAUGUGCAAUUUCAUACUUUUUCUGGUAUCCUUAUAUGCGUGGUGGUCAGAAUGAGGUGAUGACAUAGGUCACCAUCAUACCUAAACAGCAUGACCAGCUCAGUAAAAUGAGCAAGGUGUUUCAUUCUGAUUCAUUGUUCACAUAGGAAUAUUCAUUUUCAAAUACAAGUACACAUUCUAGAUGUACCUUGAAGUGAAAACUCUUCUUAUGUGCUUUGCAUAUGAUAAAACACUGGCAGUCAUUUGAAUAGAAAUGUACAUUUAGUAUUCCAAGGAUAAAAUGCUAUAAAUAUUGAGUGAUUUUGGAACUUGUUAAUGUAGUAUACCAAAUAUUGUUAAGAGCUUUUAAAUAAUUAAAAGAAGGGAACGUGAUUGGUGGAAAAUACUAGGACUACAAUAGAGGGUAUUAGCUGGAUAACUUAAGAAGAAUCUUAUAUUCUUCUUGGAUCAAACUAUAUUUAUAAAAGUUAAAUAAUGCUACAAGGCAUAAAAAGAAAGUUUCAAUUACACCAUACUUCUAAUCCUUAUGGGAUUAUUUGGUGUACUAGUAUUUGCAACCUUAAAUGGGAUAACUUUUAAGAACUGCACUUAAUUUUCACUUGGUUAAUUAUACUUAGGCCUUGAGUCUGUCAAGAAAAAGUUCUAUUGAAGAAUUGUUCCCAUUUUGUAAGAAUGAGUCAAAAGAAGAAUGUCAACUUUCCUAACUUUUUAUAGAAUGGAAAAGCAGAACAAUGUCAUGCAGUUGUCAUUGACAAUGGAACAAACAUGAAGGCUCUGAAUGAUGCAGGCAUCACGAGGAUUCAAUUUUUUCACACUCUCAGCUGUGUGUCUGAAAAGUCAUUACAGCCAUGUGUAAUAUAACAGAUUUGCUGCCUGUGAGCAGAAAGGUAGUAGACAUUUUCCCUAUUCUCUUUCAGCAGUAGAAAAGCUCCAUGACAUCCUAGAAAUGUUGGAACUCCUUGUCUGUACUUUUACAAAAUGUUCAAACAAGAUGCAAUAGUGAGUAUGACACAUUUAAAACAAAAAGAGCUUGAAAUAAAGAAAGCCUUCAUACUGAACUUUGCAAACAAG
ensembl:lncRNA